GACGAACGCUGGCGGCGUGCUUAACACAUGCAAGUGGAGCGACGAACCGGGGCUUGCCCCGGGGCAGAGCCGCGAACGGGUGAGUAACACGUGGGUAACCUACCCCGAUGACCGGGACAACUCGAGGAAACUCGGGCUCAUACCGGAUGUGCUCCUGGACCAUGAGGUCCAGGCGUAAAGAUAGCUUCGGCCUUCGCAUCGGGACGGGCCCGCGGCCCAUUAGCUUGUUGGUGGGGUAACGGCCUACCACGGCGACGAUGGGUAGCUGGUCUGAGAGGACGAUCAGCCACACUGGGACUGAGACACGGCCCAGACUCCUACGGGAGGCAGCAGUGGGGAAUCUUGCACAAUGCGCGAAAGCGUGAUGCAGCAACGCCGCGUGGGGGAAGAAGGCCUUCGGGUUGUAAACCCCUUUCAGUUGGGACGAAGCUUCGCCGGUGAAUAGCCGGCUGGAGUGACGGUACCUUCACAAGAAGCCCCGGCUAACUACGUGCCAGCAGCCGCCGGUAACAC
rnacentral:rRNA from 1 species